AUGCUUAACACAUGCAAGUCGAACGGUAACGCGGGGGCAACCCUGGCGACGAGAGGCGGACGGGUGAGGAACGCUUGGGAAUUUGCCCAUCAGCGGGGGACAACCCGGGGAAACCCGGGCUAAUACCGCAUACGCUCUAUGGAGGAAAGCCGGGGACCGCAAGGCCUGGCACUGAUGGAUGAGCCCAAGUCGGAUUAGCUAGUUGGCGGGGUAACGGCCCACCAAGGCGACGAUCCGUAGCUGGUCUGAGAGGACGAUCAGCCACACUGGGACUGAGACACGGCCCAGACUCCUACGGGAGGCAGCAGUGGGGAAUAUUGGACAAUGGGGGAAACCCUGAUCCAGCGACGCCGCGUGGGUGAAGAAGGCCUGCGGGUUGUAAAGCCCUUUCGGUAGGGACGAAAACUCUCGACCUAACACGUCGGGAGCUUGACUUAACCUACAAAAGAAGCACCGGCUAACUCUGUGCCAGCAGCCGCGGUAAUACAGAGGGUGCGAGCGUUAAUCGGAAUUACUGGGCGUAAAGCGCACGUAGGCGGCUUGGCAUGUCGGGUGUGAAAUCCCCGGGCUCAACCUGGGAACUGCAUCCGAAACUGCCUUGCUAGAGUAUGGGAGAGGGAAGUGGAAUUUCCGGUGUAGCGGUGAAAUGCGUAGAUAUCGGAAGGAACACCAGUGG
rnacentral:rRNA from 1 species